rnacentral:ribozyme from 1 species
GUUUUUUUUUUUUUUUUUUUUUUUUUUUUUUUUUUUUUUUUUUCUC